rfam:Salmo salar isolate Sally breed double haploid chromosome ssa18, whole genome shotgun sequence.
UGGCUCAGGUGGUAGAGCAUGGCGCUUGCAAUGCCAGGGCUGUGGGUUCGAUUCCCGC